GCAAUAAAAACCCUAAUACAAUCUUCUCAACUAAAAGUUAGGAUUAGAGCAGUGGUUCUCAACGUGUGGGUCUCGACCCCUUUGGCAAACCUCUAUCUCCAAAAAUAUUUACAUUAUGAUUCAUAACAGUAGUAAAAUUACAGUUAUGAAGUAGCAAUGAAAAUAAUUUUCUCACCGGGGGUGCCCACCACUUGAGAAACAGUAUUAAGGGGUUGCGACAUUAGGAGGCUGAGAACUACUGGAGUAGAGCAUCAAAAAUUAUACAAAGGAAGGCUGGGAUGAAGCUUAGUGGUAGAGCCCCUGCCUAGGAUCCCCCAGUGAGGGGCUGGGGGCGUGGCUCAGUGGUGGAGCCCCUGCCUAGAUUCCCCCAGUGAGGGGCUGGGGGUGGUAACCAGUAAUAAAACACUUGCCUAGAAUCCAUCAGAGGAGGGGCUGGGGCUUGGAUCAGAGAUAGAGCAAAAGAAAUCUAUGAAGCUGACUAACCCUACCCCUAUCUACCCUAUUCCCAUGAAAACGUCUGUGGUGGAUUGAAUAUGGUUGGUCCAGGGAGUGGUACUGCUAGGAGGCGUGGCCUUGUUGGAGGAAGUGUGUCACUGUGGGGGGUGGGCUUUGAGAAGUUCCUCCUAGCUGCCUGACGAUGCUGAGUCUUCUAGCAGUCUUCAAAUCAAAGUGUGGACCUCUCAGCUCCUCCAGCACCAUGCCUAUCUGGACGCUGCCAUGCUUCUUGCUAUGAUGAUGAUGGAUGGAACCUCAGAGACUGUAAACCAACCCCAAUUAAGUGUUGUCCUUUAUAAGAGUUGCCUUGGUCAUGGUGUCUCUUUACAGCAAUGAAUACCCUAACUAAGACAGCAUCCACUAAGAUCUAAAGCCUAGCAAUGUUUCUUUCUUCACUCAAGGCUAGGUCCCUGUUUGGAGACACCCUGUUCCAACCACCCACAUGCUUAAUUGAUACUGAGUCACCCCAAGAUGCUAAUAAAUGGACUAACGAUGUCAGCCUAACCCAAGUCUGUUGGUUAUUGUGCAAUUCUCAGUAAGAAGGGUUUUUUUUUUGGUGGGGGGGAUUUUUGAGACAUGGUUUCUCUGUGUAUCCCUGGCUGUCCUGGAACUCACUCUGUAGACCAGGAUAGCUAGGGCUCACCUCUGGCCUCUCUCUCUCCCUCUCACCCCCCUCAUCCCUUCUCCUCCCCUUGCUCACCUCUGUGUGUGUACACACACACACACACACACACACACACACACACACACACACAGGCAUUCAAUGCCAACCAAACUGCACAUGGAGAAGUUAAGAAGACAAGUUACAGGAGCCGAUUCUCUCUUUCCACAAUGUGGGUUCUGGGGUCAAGCUCCAGCUUGGCCAUCUCAACAGCCAACAAGCAUUCUUGAUAGACCCCUAGUUUCCCUAAGUAGACAACAGGAGACUUGUUAGUCAGCUAUAGGAGUCUAUCACUUCCUGUGAUCUUUUAGCAGCAGUGUCUCAGAAUCUGGCUAUGUGAGUUCUUAAAAUUCUUCUCUUCCCUCUUCUUUCCAGUCUCAAGUCAUUUAGGAUCACCAAACUGGAAAGAUCCAGGGUUCUACCCCUUAACGUUUAUAGUUCUUGGACAAGCCACUGACAUUACACAGGACUCGUCUUCUGCAUUCUAUACACGGAAAGGCAGCAUUUUAAAAACAGGAUGCUGAGGGAAAGUUAGAAAAAUAUAUAGGCAGGUAGAGAAAGCAGAAACGGCCUUCCUGCCAGGGUCGUCUCCUUCCUUAGAGAAAGGUUGGAAGGACAAAUGCCUAGGCAAAAGGUUAAGAUGAGAGGACCCAGCAGUCUUAUAAAAUGCUAAACACAGAGCCCUUGUAAGGACUCCCAAUUCAGAGAUACGUCAGCCUGCCUCAAUAAAGCUCCACACACGCACACAUUUGUCUCUCUCAGUCAGUUCUUUGCCUGCCCCACAAAUGAACUCAACUAAUACCAGAAUCUUAGUUACCAUGGGGGGGGGGCAAAGGUGGGUCAGCACUAAAAAGCAUAUACUGCUUUUGCAAAGAACCUGAAUUUGGGUCCCCAGCACCCACAUGGGGUGGCUCACAACCGCUUAUGACUGAAGCUCCAGGAGAUCCGACGCCCUCUUUGGGUGCGUGCAUGGACACACACAGACACACACACACACACACACACACAAAUAAAAUCUGUGACAGUUUUUUUUUUUUUUUUAAUUUCUUUUAAACUGCCUUUGACUCUUGCUUUGCCAUUUAUAAUUUAGCAGUCUUGAACAAAGUGACUUCGUUUCUCUGGGUCACUUGUAAACGAGGCUCUUCGCGAAGAUUUAAUGACAUCAUCUGAGCAAAGCCCCCACCGCACCCCCUCCCCCUUUCAGCCCUCUCUCUCCAAACUGAAGCUCAUUACAGGAGGCAGAAGAGUACAGACAAGUUCUGACUGCAGAUGCCAGUGAUCCCAUAGCUGGUGAGGCAAGCAAAUCUGGCUAUGAAAUCUUCGAGACAGUACACAGCCUGCUCCUGCCCACAGAGGCAGCACAAGCCUGCCAACUAACCUGCUCCAGUCACCCAUAGCUCUCUGAAGCAGGUGGUUUCAAGGAGCGCGAUGGUCCAUGAACGAACUACAUUUCCCAGCAUGCACUUUCAGUCAGGGCCCCGAGAGACAAUCCUGAGAACCUUAUCCGAACCGCUUUAGGACUAUCGGUCCGUAAUCUCCAUUCAUUCAGCUCCUGUGUCUCCCUUGGCUAAAUGAGUCAGUUACGUGAAUUCCAACACGAAUGGGUCUCCUGCAGGGCUUGUAGAAAGCCUUGGUUCAUUCGCCCUGAUAAGAGAUAGGGCCUAAGGACCAGGGUUCGUGUAGCCUGGGACGAACCCAAGGCCUCGCAGCUU
ensembl:processed_transcript